UACGGGAGGCAGCAGUGGGGAAUAUUGCACAAUGGGCGAAAGCCUGAUGCAGCUAUGCCGCGUGUAUGAAGAAGGCCUUAGGGUUGUAAAGUACUUUCAUCGGGGAGGAAAAAACAAAACUAAUAAUUUUAUUUCUUGACGUUACCCGAAAAAGAAGCACCGGCUAACUCCGUGCCAGCAGCCGCGGUAAUACGAAGGGUGCUAGCGUUAAUCAGAAUUACUGGGCGUAAAGAGCACGUAGGUGGUUUUUUUAAAGUCAGAUGUGAAAUCCCCUGGGCUUAACCUAGGAACUGCAUUUUGAAACUGAAAUACUAGAGUAUCGUAGAGGGAGGUAGAAUUCUAGGUGUAGCGGUGAAAUGCGUAGAUAUCUGGAGGAAUACCUGUGGCGAAAGCGGCCUCCUAAACGAAUACUGACACUGAGGUGCGAAAGCGUGGGGAGCAAACAGGGAUUAGAUACC
rnacentral:rRNA from 1 species